rnacentral:tRNA from 1 species
GUUUUAAUAGUUUAAUAAAAACACUGGUCUUGUAAACCAAAAAUAAGAUUUCCUUUUAAAACU